UAAUUACCUAGCCUGUUCAAUUAAAGGGACAGCAUUCUCUGAAUAUAGCAGCUUGCUGUUGAUUACCAGGGAAAUGAACUCGCUGUCUGGCGGCGCCUCCAUUCCUAACGCCACCCCCUCCCCAAACACACCCUCCACCACCAACUAUCAAUUCUCCCCACCCUCGCCCCAGGCCCCCACCCCCGGCCGCGCCGGGCUCACUGCGGCUGCGGGCGCCACGUGAACCGCCCGAGCGGAGCCCAAGGAAAGAAAGCGCGACCCGCUCGCCCGGCUCCCGCCCUGCGCUCGCCCCCUCGUGGGCCCGAGACCGCCCGCCGGCUGGGCGCUCUGGCUGCGGCCUCGGGCGGCGCCGGCCCGGGUGCUGGCCGCCGAGCGAGCUACGGCCAGCCGACGACCGCCACCCGGGCUUCCGGCGCGUUUCCUCGCCCUCCCCGGACCUGGAGCCCCACCCGUCGGUCUCCGAACUUCCUCCUCGCUGCACUUUCCGCGCCAGUCUCCGGGCCCGAGCUCUCAUUCAUUGCGGACACGUCAUUCGGAGCAGAUCUAAGCCAGAGACCAGAUCUCAUUAGAUAAAGCCCAUCAGAACUGAGAAAAUGGAGGAGCCACUAAUUAAAGCUUUUAAUUGUGCGGAUUCGCUGCAGCAAGGCAGCCGCUUUAUCUGAAAUCUUGGAGGGAGAGGAGGCAGAAGCCCAGCUCUGCCCAUCGACACUUGGCCGCGGAGGGGGAGGGGACUGGUGAAAGCGCCCCCUCAUCUUGCAGCCCCCUCCCCCGCGCUCAGGCCGGCCUUUCCCAGCUCUAACGCAGCUUUUUAGCAAGACCUUGGUUGUUUUCAAAAAACCACAACCUCAAAGUCAAGACAGUUUAAAAGCCCCUCAGUAAAUCACUAUGUGGUCUCAAUCGGACCAAGGGUCCCCUUCACCUGGCGGCGGGCGAGCAGAUUACUCCACUCUUCUGCAGCGGUCCCUGCGGCAUUGAAAGCUCCUCAAACAAGUGGACUUGAGGGACACUGGGGAGGGGGUAGCUGAGAGGAACAGGAACGUCUGCAUCUCCCCACCUUCCCACCCUUUGGGCAUCUUGAUGGGCUGAGAGAGGAACACAAGGAAGACUUCAGUAAUCUCUUAAAUUGGAGGGGAAGGGGCGCUCAGCUGCUGGUGAACCCUGAGCUAAGUGUGAGGCCAUCAAUUUCGUACUGAGCUAGAAUGCAUCUCUCCUAGAAAGAUCUAAGGUCCUCGGGAUAGCAUGUAGUUCAACAGCGAGCCUGGCUCCAGUUUCCAGCUUCAGAGGGAAAAAAGGAAGAACGUAGAUCCCAUUAAUUAAGGCUCAGGGCUGGGCACACAUCCUCCAUUGCUCCAUUAGGGCACAGGAAAACACCAAAAGGCCAUUUACAUUUGGCCCCAAGAAUAGAGAAAAGAAUGGACACAAUUCCCAGGAAGCCACUUGCCUAAACUUGUCCUGGGGGAAUACAAGUCAACCUAUCUUCUUUUUAAUUAGUUGUAAUCAGAAGUGAGGGGUUUUUGGUUUUUUUUUUUUUUUUUGAAGGCACUCGGAGAAGAGAUGAAUUUGUACCAUUCACAGAAUCUUAACAGCACUGUCAAUUUUUCCACUUCAAACCACACUCCUUUCUUACCACAGUUUUGCUUUCUAUUUAAUUACAGCACUGUCAAAGCUCAUGGCAUUACUUGGAAGGAGGACCAGAAAGCAUUACACCCAUGUUCCCGCUGAUUUUCCAACAUUUACUUCUAAAAGAACACUUAGUGAAAUUAAUGCUGCCAUCUUAAUUUAAAAAUAAAAGCCCUCUCCCUUCCUGUAUUUCUUUUACUUGACUGAUUGAGGAUGCCAGCAGAGUGGACACAGGUUGCAUUAUCAAAAUAACUAAAUGUCAUUUUACUCCAUCAUCUUACACUAAUGAUAGCACUGGGGUAAACAUAUCCACACUCAGCUCUGAACUGCACUGGAACCUUUUGCAAUGUUAGUCACAGGGUAAGGCGAAUCACAAUGGAGCUAAACUUUGAACAAAAUAUUUCAUCCACUGAUUUACCCACACUGAAGAAAGAAGAAGAUUUUCUACUAAUCACUUUAAAGAAAAAGGUUUAGGACAAAUUUACAUAGGAUGAAAUUCUUCUUAAAAGUGUGCCGUUUUCUAG